rnacentral:rRNA from 1 species
GUGGGGAAUCUUAGACAAUGGGGGAAACCCUGAUCUAGCCAUGCCGCGUGAUCGAUGAAGGCCUUAGGGUUGUAAAGAUCUUUCAGGUGGGAAGAUAAUGACUGUACCACCAGAAGAAGCCCCGGCUAACUCCGUGCCAGCAGCCGCGGUAAUACGGAGGGGGCUAGCGUUGUUCGGAAUUACUGGGCGUAAAGCGCACGUAGGCGGAUUGGAAAGUUGGGGGUGAAAUCCCGGGGCUCAACCCCGGAACUGCCUUCAAAACUCCCAGUCUUGAGUUCGAGAGAGGUGAGUGGAAUUCCGAGUGUAGAGGUGAAAUUCGUAGAUAUUCGGAGGAACACCAGUGGCGAAGGCGGCUCACUGGCCCGUUACUGACGCUGAGGCGCGAAAGCGUGGGGAGCAAACAGGAUUAGAUACCCCAGUAGUCC